CUACUAACUCUGUAAUUCAAUGGAAAUGAAAUACACAUAUUUGCAUCAAUGAAAGUGACACAAUUUGAAUCCAGAUGCUGACGACCCUCAAUUUUGCUUCUUCAUAUUUAGUGUAAAUCCAAACAGCAACGCUCCUGAGUUUGUGUCCCACGUCACCUUCAGUCCGCUCAGAGCAGAGGAAUCAUUUCCAUAGAGAGGAGGCUUUGCAUCGUCAGCUGAUCCUCCACUGAACUGAGAAGCUUUAUAGUCCUGUGACUCCAACUCUGCAGGACUCAGACCCGUCAGUCGACCACAACCACCAUGACUCUCAUCACCCUCCUCAUCUGGACGCUGGCCUGCUGCAGCUUCACAGGAUGCAGCGGCCAGGUGACUGUGACUCAGCCUCCAGUCGUGACAUUUACUCCAGGAUCCACUGUCACACUGACCUGUAACACCAACCCCAGUGUUGCAAAAUGUAGUUCUGUUGAUUGUAUGUACUGGUACCAGCAGAAACCUGGACAGGCUCCACGGCUCCUAAUAUACAGGGUGAGCAAUAGACAAUCAGGAAUACCUGCUCGGUUCAGUGGCAGUGGAAGCAGCUCUGACUUCUCUUUGACCAUCAGUGGAGUUCAGAGUGAAGAUGCAGCAGUUUAUUACUGUAAGAGCAUCCAUGUAGUAAGCGGAGCAGAUGUGUUGACACAGUGAUUUACAGUCGUACAAAAACCUCCCUCAGUCAGACGCAGAGACAUGAGCUGUUACAGCAGGAAGAGAGUGGGACACAGACCAGUGAACACAGAGACUGACAGUAACCUCACCAAGCACAACAGACACAAUCACACACUUUCAGACCUAAGAUGAAGCUCUUCAAAAAUAGAUUUUCUCAAGUGCAGUAUUUGCAGUAAAUAAAUUCAUGAUGUAUUUGUAGUAUACUCAAGAAUCCUACAUAGAGCAAGGUGCAUUCCAUAGGCUGUACUCAUGUUUAUUUAUAUUGUUUGUUGACUUUAUCUUUGUAUUAACAGACAUAUAGACUGUAUAUAUAUUUGUAUUCAUUGUUUUAAACUCUACAUAUUUUAUAUAGACUAUGAACAUCUUUAAAUAGACUGUAUAUGAAUAUAUUAUUGGUAUAUUCAGAAUCAGAGUCAGAAUCAGAAUGUAUUUUUUGCCAAUU